rfam:Sorghum bicolor cultivar BTx623 chromosome 6, whole genome shotgun sequence.
AGAACGGGAUGCAGCCAAGGAUGACUUGCCGGCUCCUCAAAUUUGAAGCGUCGUCUAAGCUGCUGAGGCUUAAUAAAAACUUAGUCGGCAAGUCUGUCCUUGGCUACACCUAGUUCUCU